AGAUGUAAUCCUGCCUAAAACAAGAUUUCAAUUGAUAGAUUGAAGAUGUAUGAUUCAACAGUAGCAAUACGGAAGAGCUACCUCAAGCACUGCUUCCAAACCAAACUGUCAGGGCUGUUGAGAUUUUAGUGUCGCACCCGUAGGUAGAAUAUACGGGAAUCGUCUGUGGUAGUGUUUAGAGGUAUGUUAUUUUGUGCUUAGUGGAAAUGAAUUGUAGAUACCUGGAUGAAAUAAAAGGAACAGCAGUUGCUAGUUGAGUUAUCAGUCAGUAGCUGUCUGCAGAGGAAUGGA